rnacentral:lncRNA from 1 species
AUAAGUACACCAUAUAACAAAUUAAGAUUAAAAACCAUGUAAUUCUAUUAGUUGGUGCAGAAAAAGCAUUUAACCAAAUUCAACACUCAUUUAUAUUAAAGACACUCAACCUAUUAAGAAUAGAGGGGAACUACUUCAAUUUAAUAAUGAACAACAAUAAAACAUCUAUAGCUAAAAUUGUACUUAAUGGUAAAUGACUUAAUGCUUUCCCCUAAGAUUGGGAGCAAGGCAAUGAUGUUCACUUUCUCUGCUCUUAUUCCACAUAGUACUGGAGGUUUUAGCUAUUGCAGUUGAGGCAUACAGAUUAGAAAGGGAGAAAUAAAAAUGUCUCUGUUUGUAGAUAUCAUGAUUAUCUACAUAGAAAAUAUAUUCCCCCUUAAAUGUAUACAAAGAAAAAAAGCACUGUAAAAUACUAUAAAAUGUUAUCGUGACACAUAAACUUUCAGAAUCAUUCAAUAAUAAGCAACAAUAAAAUAAAAUAAACCUUUAAAACUUAAUCAGCCAAUCUUGAGGGUCCUCUCUUUGGCUCUUCUCAUUUGCUUGCUCUGAUAAAUCAAGUUGAUAUGAUAUGAGUUGCUUCAUGGAGAGGGCAGAAGGUAUAGGACUGAAUCCUGCCAUAAAAUUAUGUAAAGGAGCUUGGAUACAGACCCUUCCCUACUGGAGCCUUGAGAUGAGACCAUAGCUCCAGCCAACUCCAUGACUGCAGCCCUCUGACAGAUCCUAAGUCAAAAGAUCCUGCUGAACCACAUCCAUACACUUGACCUACACAAGCCAUGAGAUAGUAAAUGUUGUGGGUUCAAGUCACCACAUUUUGGGAUGAUUUGUUAUGCAGCGAUAGAUAUCUAAUACAAUCUCUAUCUUUAUAUUAUUCAGGAAGUCAUUAAAGAAGCAACCCAUGGCAAAACUAGUUAUUUUCUUAAAACAGUAGGAAGAAGAAAAGCUUUUUGAAUGAAUCACUUCUCAUCUUCUCCGAAGUUGGAAGCAUCAAGAAUCUAAAUAAGCAUUUAUGAUGGCUGGCAUGAAUAUAAACCUCAAAGAAAUCAGUCUGAGAGCUGCAAGGGUUCACUCUAUUCAGUAGCGUCCACAUUGUUCUCUCCUUCAUCGUGCCUAUUUUAUGAACUUGAACAAGGAAGUUGCCACAACAUCUGUGGGCCAGAGAACUAUGCCAGAAUGUUAUUUCCAGAUUGCUUCCUGUAUUUACAAAGGUCUAUAGGUCCACUGAUACGGCUUUGCUACUCUACCCCGACACCCUGAGGACUAAUCUAUUAAUAGUAUGUACUUCUUAUAAUGAUGAGUGAGGCACAAAAGAGGAAGCAGAAACGUAAGAGACCUUCUAAAGCCUAUUCUCAGAACUGCCAUACUGUCGUUUCUGCCUCUGGCCAAAACAGGUCAUCAGGUACAAAGUCAAGAGCCCAAAGCCACAUGGUCCUAAGAUGAAGAAAGCCUGUGGAUUCAGGAACAGAUGAAUUUUAGGAGCCAACAACGCAAUCUACCACUUGCCUCUCUUAAGAAAUAUCAUUGUUUACCUAUGUGGCGGAAGAUAGAAUGGGAGUCCUAGUUGACCUUCAUAUAAUUUUUAGAAGAUGGAGCACUUCAACUUCUUCCACUCAUGAAAAGAGAGGUGACAGGUGAAGACAGAACAAGAAAACAAACCAAGAAUUUCCCCUCACCAGCCACCAGCUCUGCCAGCAACUUGAUCUUAGACUUCCCAGCCUCCGUAACGUCUUCCUCCUAAAAACCUGUAACCUCAAUCUAAUCAUGAGAAAAGACAUCAGGCAAAUCCCAACUGAGGGAGAUUUUACAUAGUACCUGAGCAGUACUCCUCAAAACUGUCAAGGUCAUCAAAAACAAAGAAGUAUGAAAAACUGUCACAGCCAAGAGGAACUUAAGGAAACAUAAUAAUUAAAGCCUCUGCUUAUAAUCUGUCAUGGAUUGGAAAACUAGAAAAAACAGUUUACAGAGUAUAACAAACUUUGGAGGAGUUAAUCGACUCUAAGUAAAAGAGUAUCUAGCACGGCUGUGGAACAAAGGAGAGACUCACAAACUGUUGAAAGAAUAAAUGAAUGAAUGAAUUCUGUUCAUGAGCUUUAAUAAAACAGCUCUGAGUAGUAACAGUGGAUCAAAUUUAGGCUUCUUGAUGCAGGCAUGGUGUAGAUUACUACUUCUGUAUUGUCCCAGGAGCUCAGCACAUUCCUGCAGAGAUGAUAGGAGCUCAUCUGAUACUUGUCAGCUUUGAAUAAACUCCAGUCCCCAAGAGAGAGAAUGAGAAUCACCGGAAUACGAAACUUCCCUGUUGGACUUCCCAACAUUCUUGAAUGCACCAAGAUAGCCUCUUGCUGUGAGAUUAAUAAAUGAAUAAAUGCCUCCAUAUUUUUCAAA